rnacentral:rRNA from 1 species
GACGAACGCUGGCGGCGUGCUUAACACAUGCAAGUCGAACGGAAAGGCCCUGCUUUUGUGGGGUGCUCGAGUGGCGAACGGGUGAGUAACACGUGAGUAACCUGCCCUUGACUUUGGGAUAACUUCAGGAAACUGGGGCUAAUACCGGAUAGGAGCUCCUGCUGCAUGGUGUGGGUUGGAAAGUUUCGGCGGUUGGGGAUGGACUCGCGGCUUAUCAGCUUGUUGGUGGGGUAGUGGCUUACCAAGGCUUUGACGGGUAGCCGGCCUGAGAGUGUGACGGGCCACAUUUGGACAGAGAUACGGCCCAGAAACCUACGUUGGUCAGCAGUAUGGAAUAUUGAGCAAUGGGCGGAAGCCUGAGGCAGCAAGUCCGGGUGCGGGAUGAUGGCCUUCUGGUUGUAAGCCGCUUUCGCCUGUGAAGAAGCGUCAGUAAGGGUAAUGGGUAAAGAAGCACCGGCUAACUACGUA